rnacentral:lncRNA from 1 species
CCUCUCCACCCACUGUACGUCCCCUGACCCGCCCCUCUAUUGAGUAAGACGCACCCCCUUCGUUCUUCGUUUCUCGAACUUGUUGUGCACACCCAUGGGAGAUAAGAAACACUUUGCGCAUCCAGGGUGCAGAGACCUGUGCAACUUCUAGUCUCUUAUUCUAGGACCUCUUGCCUACCAGGAGAGAUCUUUCGACUGGAGAGUAUAUUUAACUUCACUUUACAGGGUCUCGGAGCCUUUAACUAUUGUGAUAUUGCACUACAACCGUCCUGCGGAGAAACGCGACAUCCUCAGGAAAUGCCUCGAUCGUUCUUGGUACGGAGCCGCAGGGGGGGUGGUCCACGACGUUGGAGCUGUGACAAGCAGUUGGAGCAAAGUCCAGGUCCUUUGGCUAGUCCAGGCCAGGUUCAAAUCAAGUAUGAAAAAGAUCUUUCUGCAUCAAUUCCCAGUGCCCCAGAGCAGCAUCUACACUCAAUACCCACACUGAAUGAAGUCAGGCUGAGCCCAGCUUUCACCCCGGUGUGCCCUCCACUGCACAGCAGCAACUUGUUGGGGUUCAACCCUGUCGGCGGUUGCUGUUUAUCACCAAGCUCAGCCAUGCCCCUCAAUCCAGGCCUGCCUGAGCAUCAUGCGUAUGCUUGCCUGAAAUGUAGCAAGGUAAUAAAUGUUGCUCUUCCUUCUUAAAUCUUUUUGAAAAAAAUCCAUCAUAAAAUCACAUUUGCCGUUAAAUUGCUAUAUAACUGUGCUGUCGAUUGAAUUAUUAAUGUACAAUACGGGACUUUCAAAAUGACGUAUGAAUGUUAAACAAGGCUUUUUGCGCAUGCGCUGUGUGUGUUGACAGUGAUUCGGUUCAGUUCGGCUCGACAGGCACUUUGAACCUGCCGUUGCGGGCACAAAAUCUGUGAUUCAAAUCCUCUUUUAAACCUCCUUUUCGGCAUUGAAAUGAAAGAGUGGCAAUUUCAAAAUGGUAAAGCAUAAUUGUUCUGUUCCUGAAUGCAAAUCGGACUCGCAGAAAUAGAGGAAUACAUGAAAUAUCCAUGGAUGAGAUGUAUCGGGUUCAUUAUAUUUCCUGUUAGUACAUUGUAGCAUCGGCUGUCGAU